rnacentral:lncRNA from 1 species
GGGGACCCGGGACUUCCAAGUGUCCAAAAACAAUCCAUUGAUACACUUGGUGACAUUAAUUGAGAAAAAAACAAUAUGGUCUGGCCAUGGAGGCAUGAUAUCCGUAACAUCCCCCAAAGGAGCUAAAGAAGAAAUCCACAAUUUACCAUGAGCAUUUCUCGUCUAAUGAUUGCCAAGCGAUUCCUCCAGGACAUUCCUCAAGAUCAAUUUCUGUUCAUCCACCUUGUCCUGGGAGGGACAUCAAUGGGUUUCCAUGUCCUUUGGCUUCUGGUUGAGUUCACUCAGUGGAGAACCCUGGCAAGAGGCAGGAAAAGGGGAGGAAGGUGAAAACCAUCCAUUUCUUGGAGAAGUGCCACGGUGGGGUUGCAAGUCCCAGGAUCAAGAUUUCGAUGUGUCUCUUUUUCCCGUAAAGUGGCUGAAAUCUGAAGCUGAAUCUGCAAGUGUCAUGGAGUCAUUGAAUCUCACAGUCUCAACUGAUAAAAGUUAUUAAAGGUCGUCUGGUUCAGCCUUCUACUUGAUGUGGAAAUCCUUUCUACAGUAACUCUGUGUGGGAAUCACAGUUCAC